GGGUUAGCUAAGUUGGUAGAGCAUGAGACUCUUAAACCCAGAGUCAUGGGUUCAAGACCUAUAUUGGGCA